AUGUGCAGUGCAGACUAUGGGGAAGGGAGCGUGUGCCAGAGAGAGCUGCCUUCAGGUUCAGGUAGCCAAGGAAGUCCUGCAGGUUCACCUUGUGCAGGUAGAAAGUUAUGCAUGCCUCAUGCAUCUUCUUGGCAGUCUUAUGGGAGAGGGAGAGUUGGGACCCAGGCCCCUGCUCUGAUGGGGGCUGCACCUUCUGAAGCACCACGCCCUCUGCCAGGCCCCAGAACUACGCUUCCGUCUGCACAGUUGCGCCGUCUUCCUCCAGCACCAGGGCGAAGCGCUCGUCUGCCAGCACCAGGGCGUCUCAGACCUCGUGCGGGAGGUCCUCCAGCUUGGCCAGGUGCCCCUCCACACCACUGGUCAGCACUGCUUAUUCGGCAGGAAUCUACAGUGACUGUCCAUUGCCAACUGUGAAGGAAAGAGACAGCACAUUUGGUGGGCAACCACUACCCUAUGCACCAGCGAGGGCUGGGUGGUUUGCAUGCUCUGUUCAAGCCUGUGAGGUGAGUGAUAUUCUCUUCGUUCCUCAGAUGCAAGCUCUGCAGCUCGAAGAAGUUAAGAAACCUGUUCCAAGUCAUAUACCUUGCAAGCGGUAGAGCUAGGACUGAUCCUAAAGUCCACGUUCUUUCUUCGACACCAACUGCCCAUGUGGGUAGAAUACAGAUUAGUAAGGCAUCCUGGAAUUCAAACGUUUCCUCAUUUGUUCCCCCCUCUCCAACAUGCCCUCACCCUCCAGUACUUUCCAAAGAAGUACUCUGCCACAGUCAGAUCUUUCUCUGAAAGGCCCUCACACACCUUGUUCAUUCAGGCAAUGAAUUAAUACUCACCUACCAUCAAGGACUGAAGGUGCAAAUAUGUAAAUGACUUUCUCACAACAACUGGGAAAGUAAAUGGCAGGGUGAAAACUCCCAGGCCUCUGCCUUCAAUGCCUCUACACAUUCGUCCACCUCAGAGCCUGCCCCUUCUCAGUGCCCUCCAGCCAAAAAACACCAAGAACACCCCUACAGUCAGCUGUGGGUUCACUGACUCGUUGCAAUGAGGGAGACUGCAUACCCUCAGUAAGUGGGUGUGAAAAACGGCUUCUGAUAGGAUUUGGGCUUGUGUUCAGUGAUCCUGGGGAGGGUUCAAGGAAGUGGGGCUCUGCUCCCGAUUGGAUGUUGUCAGGAAGCGGGGCUGAUUCCAUGAUUGGGACUUUAAUUCUUAUCUAGAAGGCAGGAGGAACAAAGCAAGCCUACAGCUGUAAUUGGAAAAGAAGCAGCAGUUACUCUUGUUACCCAGGAUAGAGGAAUGUUUGGUGGUCAUUUUUGUGGUCUAGACAAUUUCUUGUUUUGAUUAUAGUCAGACAUAAUUACAGACUGGUCUUGUUUUUGUUUUGAUCCAUCGCAAUCACAGAGUGGCCUUGUCUGACAUGGGCAUUCUGUGAGAUUGUCUGUAUUUAACAAGAGUGUACCACAGACUAGCCAAUAGUACUAGGCCAGCUGCUUUUCUCUUUCUCACUCUCAUUCCUCUUUCUUGAUAUUGCUGGUGUUACAGUUCACACAUUUGAUGUCCCCUAUCUUCAUCCCUCCCCACAGCCCUAUCUGGGCCCUAGUUCUUUCACUUCGCUGAACUUCUGCCUCCAUCAUACAAUUUAGCGUUCAUUGUGUGUGGACAUACCCAUGGAGGAUGAACCCACGUAGAGGGGCCCAGGAAUUUCUGGAGGAGAGUGGGACCAGCCCAGAAGAGUUGACAUGCACAAAGAGCCCAAGCAGGCCAGCUUUGGUGACUACCCAGCAGAGUGUGACGGGGGAGGAAGAGGAAAAGCACUCCCCUUCCUGAAGAACUAAGGCGCUGCUGGGAUUUUAGGAAUCUGAGGGGACAUGGCGCCAUCUUGUAGCUCUGACACAGCCAUGAGCAAAGAUAGCAUCUGCCUCUGUGUUGUGUAAGACCCCUCCCAAAACAAGAGAGGGCUGGCUUCAAAAUCACUGGGUGAGUUUUAGCGGGGACUGGGGAGUACUGCCGAAUGAAAGAUAUAACCAUUGUAUGAUCCACAACGUACAUCCACAGACUGGUGAAGCCUGCGGAAACAAGGGUUAUGUUUUUUUGUGUGUUUUACAAAAGCACUUUUAAAAAUUAUAAUACACACUCGUUGUAAAAGUUUAAACAAAUUGAAUUACAGAAAGAAAAAAAAUCCUGUCUUCCUCCUCUGUCCAAUCCCACCCUCUUAAAGUAACCGGUAUUAGCAUGUUAGUGUGUAUCAUUCCAUACUUUUCCUGUGCUUAUACAAACAUAGAAUUACCUAUUUAGAGUCUUGUUUUUGCUUCUUACAAAAACCUGAUCAUGUUCUUCAAAUUAUUCUACCACUUGCUUAUUUUCACUUACCAAUAUGUCUUCUACACUUUUUCAACUCAAUACGUAUAAAUGUGGUUUGUUCGAUUUGAUGAUUGCAUAACAUGCCAUACGAUGGAUGCACCAUAAUUUACUAAAUCAGCCCAUCAUUAAUCAUAGGUUAUGGUUAUGUCUUAUCAGCUUUGUUUGCUAAUGCUUUAUCUGAGCUAGUCUUGUUUUAGCUUUAGUCUCCUAAAUAACAGAGAACAUGUCUAAAAUACAGGUUUCCUUCCUAGACCUAACACAUCACUACCUACACACAUCAACAUUUGACAUGACAUGAUUAUUCUUUUAAUUUUGGAAAUGCUCAUAACGUCUUCUUCUUGUUUGCUAAAAGGAAGACAAUUCUUAGGAAGAGAGACUCAAAUUUGGCACAUUUACUGAGCAGGGGCAGGUAACGUUUAAUUUCCUAAUCCCAUAUGGUCCAAUUUUUCUCCAUAUGUCAAUCUCCCUCCCGACAGGUGCAUCAUAUUUUCCCAUGGAAAUACACCUAUAUCACUAGAGAAAUCAUUUAAAUUCUACCUCUGUAUCAUAAAAUUAUUCAAGUUUUAGAGCGAGGCUGCCUAAUCCAACACCCUCAUUUUAAAGAUGAACAAAGUGAAGCUUGAAGGGAUUCAUAAUUUAGCCAAAGGCACAUGGCUACUUAGCCAAGCAGCUGGGGCCAGGAACACUCCAGAGCGCUCUCCACUGUAGGACACAGCCCCUUGAGGGCUUAAGGGUGCUUGGAGCACAAUGCAUAGGCAAUGGUAUUUUUAUUUGAGGAGAAUUUAAAAGUCGGUCAUUAACUUUUCUCAAAGACUUUGAAACAGGUAACUGAUUCUUGCUACUUGCUACUCACCCCUCUGAAGAAGGAACUCUGUCCACCAGACCCGGAGUCUGUAACUUGUUUUCCCCAUGAGGUCUGCUCUUGCCCCAGCUUGCAGUUUUCUCUGCAACCAGCAGCUAAUUGGGUGGCCACUGCUCCUUUGUCCUUGCAUUCCCACAAUAUCCAGUGUGCCCUGGCCUGGAGUUGAGGCGCUUAUUAUCUGAUUAUACAAAGGUAAAAUCUACCAGUUGUGGCUGGAGAGGAUUGUCAGGAGUGAUACAGAUUUGUAGAGCCUAAAGCUUAUAAAAUUUUUGAGAUCGUCUUUAAUGGAAAACUAUACAAAAAUAUCUUAUUUUUGCUAUUUAUACAAAAACAUAUAAACACAUCACUAGGUUCCCUCCCAGUGCCUUAGAAAAGGCCAGGUUCUAGCAAAUGAGGGAUGCUGAGUCUUGAUUUCCUUUAGCUUCAGGGUAAAAUUGCUCCGGCACCUUACAUGGAGUAACGUAGGACACACCUGAGGCACCCUUUCUAAUCCCUCACACGUAGUCAGACGGAGCUGCUCAGACCCCUCUGGGAGGUAGAACACAGUAACUGUAAGACCCAGAGCUAUCAGGGCAGUUUCUAUUUCAAAUAUUUCACCAGACCACGUGGCAAAUGAUGCAACUUGACUUUUCAAAAAACACAGGUGAGAAUGCUACAGAAUGAAAGCACAAAAGACAAAGAAAACAAAGAAAAAAAAAAUCAAACCAACUCCCCCACCCCCACAAAGGAGUACAAAUAGGAACGGAAAUACCAAUUGUUUCCUAUGGAUGUUUUGUUUCCCGUCUCAGAAUGAAAGAAUGAACCCAGGAAGGACAAUAACAGCACACAGCCUCUGCAGAGCACAGAAGUUUCCACCUGCUAAGAAAACAGCAGGAAUCUUUAACAGAAAAUUGUCUUCCCUUAUUGGGUCACAAUAAUUAUGUCGCCAAGAAAAUCUUCUUAGACUUACUCUGGAUAAGAAAUAAAAUGUACCUUGAAAAGAUAAGUUUAAAAGAC
rnacentral:lncRNA from 1 species